AGUGAACGCUGACGGCGUGCUUAACACAUGCAAGUCGAACGAGAACGGAAUAUAGCUUGCUAUAUUUGUCAGCUAAGUGGCGCACGGGUGAGUAAUGUAUAGAUAACCUGCCCUUAAGAAAGGAAUAACAGUUGGAAACGACUGCUAAUGCCCUAUAUGCCUUUAAUACAUAAGUAUGCAAGGGAAACGCUUUAGUGCUUAAGGAUGGGUCUGUAUGGUAUCAGCUUGUUGGUGAGGUAAUGGCUCACCAAGGCUAUGACGCCUAACUGGUUUGAGAGGAUGAUCAGUCACACUGGAACUGAGACACAGCCCAGACUCCUACGGGAGGCAGCAGUGGGGAAUAUUGCACAAUGGACGAAAGUCUGAUGCAGCAACGCCGCGUGGAGGAUGACACAUUUCGGUGCGUAAACUCCUUUUAUAUAGGAAGAUAAUGACGGUACUAUAUGAAUAAGCACCGGCUAACUCCGUGCCAGCCGCCGCAGUAA
rnacentral:rRNA from 1 species